rnacentral:rRNA from 1 species
AUUGAACGCUGGCGGCAUGCCUUACACAUGCAAGUCGAACGGUAACAGGUCUUCGGAUGCUGCCGAGUGGCGAACGGGUGAGUAAUACAUCGGAACGUGCCCGAUCGUGGGGGAUAACGGAGCGAAAGCUUUGCUAAUACCGCAUACGAUCUAUGGAUGAAAGCAGGGGACCGCAAGGCCUUGCGCGGACGGAGCGGCCGAUGGCAGAUUAGGUAGUUGGUGGGAUAAAAGCUUACCAAGCCGACGAUCUGUAGCUGGUCUGAGAGGACGACCAGCCACACUGGGACUGAGACACGGCCCAGACUCCUACGGGAGGCAGCAGUGGGGAAUUUUGGACAAUGGGCGAAAGCCUGAUCCAGCCAUGCCGCGUGCAGGAUGAAGGCCUUCGGGUUGUAAACUGCUUUUGUACGGAACGAAAAGACUCUUUCUAAUAAAGAGGGUCCAUGACGGUACCGUAAGAAUAAGCACCGGCUAACUACGUG